GUGUGUUGGUGGAAGGAGACAGCUACCUGUCUGUGCAGGCAUCACGCUUUUAGCCUCAUCUUUGCAGUAGUGGAGACAGCAGGACAAGAUGACAUCAUCAUUGUUCCCCUGGAGGGGGGGGAGAGACAGGUAAAUCUAAAGCUGAAUUUCAAUGACAGUCCGGAAUUGAAUGAAAUAGCAUUAGCUUGCAGUCAAAGACUGCUCCAAACUCUUAAUUCACAUACAAGAGAUGGUAAAAUACUUGACAGAGGAUCUGGGGCACUUGGACACACGUUUAAUAUACACAUCAAAACACACAAUCGGCACCUGUUGUCCGGAGGUGUCUUCGCUGCGGAAGGCGAUAGACUCCAUUUGACUUCCUCUGCUGGUCAGCGCUCUGAGACAGGGCUCCCUGGCCUCGAACCCUCGCUCCAGAAACGCCACAGCAACCUUAGCCUUCUCCUGGACCGACUGGGCGUGGGUCGGUCCACCACUACCGGUGUUUCCACGACAACCACUGCCACCACGCCCACUGCCAGAGCCAUCGCAGCUCUCCUGCCCCUUUGCCAGACCAUCCAACUCUGUUAUCACUGGAGGAGGGGAGGGAGAGAAGAGGGGGGGAGGGAGGGAGAAAAGAGGAAGGAGAGAGAAGAGAGGAGGGGGAGGGAGGGAGUGAGAGGGAGAGAGGUAGGGAGGGAGAGAGGAGGGAGGGAGGGAGGGAGAGGGAGGGAGGGAGGAGAGAGGGAGGGAGGAGAGAGGGAGGGAGGAGAGAGGAGAGAGGAGAGAGGGAGGAGAGAGAGAGGGAGGGAGGAAGGAGAGAAGAGGGAGGAGAGAGAGGGAGGAGAGAGGGGAGGGAGAGAAGGGGAGGAGAGAGAGAAGGGGAGGGAGAGAAGGGGAGGGAGAGAAGAGAGGAGGGAGAGAAGAGAGGAGGGAGAGAAGAGAGGAGGGAGAGAAGAGAGGAGGGAGAGAAGAGGGGAGGGAGAGAAGAGGGAGGGAGAGAAGAGAGGAGGGGAGAGAAGAGAGGAGGGAGAGAAGAGGGGAGGGAGAGAAGAGAGGAGGGAGAGAAGAGAGGAGGGAGAGAAGAGGAGGGAGAGAAGAGAGGAGGGAGAGAAGAGAGGAGGGAGAGAAGAGGGGAGGGAGAGAAGAGAGGAGGGAGAGAAGAGAGGAGGGAGAGAAGAGAAGAGGGAGAGAAGAGGGGAGGGAGAGAAGAGAGGAGGGAGAGAAGAGAGGAGGGAGAGAAGAGAGGAGGGAGAGAAGAGAGGAGGGAGAGAAGAGAGGAGGGAGAGAAGAGGAAAGAGAGAGAAGAGGGCAAAGACAUCUACAGUCAGAACUAAACAUUCCUCUAACUCCUAA
rnacentral:lncRNA from 1 species